rnacentral:rRNA from 1 species
GACGAACGCUGGCGGCGUGCCUAAUACAUGCAAGUCGAGCGCGGGAAGCAAGCGGAUCCCCUUCGGGGGUGAAGCUUGUGGAACGAGCGGCGGACGGGUGAGUAACACGUGGGCAACCUGCCUGUAAGACCGGAAUAACCCCGGGAAACCGGGGCUAAUGCCGGGUAACACCUACCUUCGCAUGAAGGAAGGUUAAAAGAUGGCUUCUUGCUAUCACUUACAGAUGGGCCCGCGGCGCAUUAGCUAGUUGGUGAGGUAACAGCUCACCAAGGCGACGAUGCGUAGCCGACCUGAGAGGGUGAUCGGCCACACUGGGACUGAGACACGGCCCAGACUCCUACGGGAGGCAGCAGUAGGGAAUCUUCCGCAAUGGACGAAAGUCUGACGGAGCAACGCCGCGUGAACGAUGAAGGUCUUCGGAUCGUAAAGUUCUGUUGUUAGGGAAGAACAAGUACCGUGCGAAUAGAGCGGUACCUUGACGGUACCUAACGAGGAAGCCCCGGCUAACUACGUGCCAGCCGCCGCCGUAACAC